rnacentral:sRNA from 1 species
CUUCAAGCUGCCUAAAAUUGAUAUCUGCUUUCCUUUGACCACGGAUGUACUGGCACUGUCGAAAGCGAUACCAGGGAGGUCAGGCAAAUUGCCUGGCCUUUUUUCUG